rnacentral:sRNA from 1 species
AACAAUUAGGCUUUGGGGAUAAAACGAGGUGCGGAGAGCGGGCUGGGGCAUUUCUCCCCGAGAUGGCGGGUCUGACGGCGGCGGCCCCGCGGCCCGGAGUCCUCCUGCUCCUGCUGUCCAUCCUCCACCCCUCUCGGCCUGGAGGGGUCCCUGGGGCCAUUCCUGGUGGAGUUCCUGGAGGAGUCUUUUAUCCAGGGGCUGGUCUCGGAGGCCUUGGAGCAGGAGUGCUGGGGCCUGGAGGCAAACCUCUUAAGCCAGGGCUCGGCACCUUCCCUGCAGGUACCUUUCCGGGGGCUCUGGUGCCUGGUGGAGUGGCUGACGCUGCUGCAGCCUAUAAAGCUGCUAAGGCUGGCGCUGGGCUUGGUGGUGUCCCAGGAGUUGGUGGCAUUGGUGGCUUAGGAGUGUCUGCAGGUACGAUGGCUAUCCCCGAACUCCCUGGGUCAAAGUCGCAGGCCUGGGUGGAGCUAACUCUGAUGCAGCCCCUUCUGUGCCAGGUGCGGUGGUUCCUCAGCCUGGAGCCGGAGUGAAGCCUGGGAAAGUGCCGGGUCAGUGCGGAAUCCCUGGGGCUGGAGGACAGAGGGCAGGGAGGGGCAGAGGGCA